rnacentral:lncRNA from 1 species
UCACAAGGCAGGACAGGCUAAACGCCAAGAAAAGAGCACGAGAUAUGUGUAUGUAGGAAUAGUGGGGACACGGCCAGGAGGUCUGCAAAGGCUUCCUGGGGGAAAAUGGGCUUGGAAUUAGACCCUGGAGGACAGUUAAGAGGGGGAGGAGGGAAGACUGUGUGAAGCCAUGAUGGCAUGGAUGUAAGGUUGGGCUGGGAGAGGAGUCGGGAAGAAAAAGAGAUUUGAGCUAGACCCUUUCUGCAGCAUUUUGGGCUUUUGGGUGGGGUGUAACCCGAGCACCAGUGAAAGAAAUGUUCUAAAUCUAAAAGCAGCAAUCAAGGGUAGGCAUGGAUAAGAACCUACUUAACCAGAUCACAAGUGUUUGCAUUUCUUUAAAUUUUGCUCCAACGUUGGUAUCGCCUUUUCUGCAGGGCAUUUCCUGUAGGGAUUAGUUCCAUUCUUUUCUACUUUAUUUAACUCCAGUGCCUUUCUUACUCAACAAGGCUCCUUGAAGGCAGAGGCUUCCUUGUAGCCCGGUGCAACCCCGGUGUCUAGCUCAGUGGGCACUCAAUCAGCAUUUCAUUCAGUGAAUAAAUACAUCUAUAUUUCUAUUUUACCUAAGAGCAUGGAGCUUUGGAUGGCGUGCCUAAAGUAAUGUUUCCUGGCCUGGGGCAAGAAUAAUGUUGAUUUGCACAAUCCCCAAGCCAGGCAGGAUUGUUUAGUUGGCGACAGCUGCUGGAAUGACCCGCCUGGGAUCCGGCAGGACAGAGUCACACAGAGGCCUUGCUAAACUAAACGUAGGAACUCACAUCAGUUAAGGCGGUGUUGCUUUAAGCUCAGCCAACCAAAGGUGGAUGCAAAAAACAAGCCAGCAGCUUGAGACUCGAAACAGAACAGAAAGGGAAUUCACAGGACCCAACUUUGUCUUCUGGCUGGAGCCCUUGAGAUCUGGCGAUGCUGGCGAGGCCAACUGUGUGUUGAGAUAAGAAACGGCAGCUUCUUUAAGGUUUAUUUUGUUUUUGGAGCCGCCCGAUCCAGUGGGCGGAUCAUGCCUUGAAAUAGAAGCAUCUCGAAAAGCCUGUGAAUCAUUUCUUAGUGCCGGCCUGCAAGGUUUCAUAUCCUGUUCUUGGCGUUACCUUGGGUGCUGUGAGCGUGUGAAACAAGGCCUAUGCUCAGGUUCCAGGACUGAGGAUGCAGACAUCUUUGGAGAGGCCACUAACCUGCUGGCCACAUUAACCAGCAGGGGUGGUGGGAACUAUGACAAUCCAGCCCGCACAUACUGUUUCUAAAGGAGGCAACUGCUUCUCAGCCCCGGCUGAUUUCAUCACGCGUGAACCCAGGUUCGGUAUGGCUGGGGCUUGAACUCUGUGACCCUGAGACAGAUCUGAGCUGAGAUCAGGAGGCGGACGCUUAACCAACUGAACCACCCAGGCACUCUGGAUCUACCAGUGUUUCAAAUAAAGCUGGAACGUUAGAGUUUCAGGUGAAAUUUUCCAAUCUUGU